rnacentral:rRNA from 1 species
GAUCCUGGCUCAGGACGAACGCUGGCGGCGUGCCUAACACAUGCAAGUCGAACGGAGCAAAGCCCCUUCGGGACUUUACUUAGUGGCGAACGGGUGAGUAACGCGUGAGGAACCUGCCUUCCAGUGGGGGACAACAGUUGGAAACGACUGCUAAUACCGCAUGAUGCUUUUGAGGGACAUCCCUUAAAAGCCAAAGCUUUAUGUGCUGGAAGAUGGCCUCGCGUCUGAUUAGCUAGUUGGUGGGGUAACGG